AUUGAACGCUGGCGGCAGGCCUAACACAUGCAAGUCGAGCGAGAAAGCACUUCGGUGUGAGUACAGCGGCGGACGGGUGAGUAACGCGUAGGAAUCUACCCAGUAGUGGGGGACAACUUGGGGAAACCCAAGCUAAUACCGCAUACGCCCUAUGGGGGAAAGCGGGGGACCUUCGGGCCUCGUGCUAUUGGAUGAGCCUGCGUCGGAUUAGCUAGUUGGUGGGGUAAGAGCCUACCAAGGCGACGAUCCGUAGCUGGUCUGAGAGGAUGAUCAGCCACACUGGGACUGAGACACGGCCCAGACUCCUACGGGAGGCAGCAGUGGGGAAUAUUGCGCAAUGGGGGCAACCCUGACGCAGCCAUGCCGCGUGUGUGAAGAAGGCCUUCGGGUUGUAAAGCACUUUCACUUGGGAAGAAAAGCUGUUGCUUAAUACGUAACAGCCGUGACAUUACCUUGAGAAGAAGCACCGGCUAACUCCGUGCCAGCCGCCGCCGUAACAC
rnacentral:rRNA from 1 species